AGAGUUUGAUCCUGGCUCAGAACGAACGCUGGCGGCGUGCUUAACACAUGCAAGUCGAACGAGAACGCCCCUUCGGGGGUUAUUAAAGUGGCGGACGGGUGAGUAACGCGUGGGUAAUCUACCUCUCAGUGGGGGACAACCUGCCGAAAGGCGGGCUAAUACCGCGUAACACGAUCGGCUCACAAGGGCCGAUCGUCAAAGGUAGCCUCUGCUUGCAUGCUAUCACUGAGAGAUGAGCCCGCGUCCCAUUAGCUUGUUGGUGGGAUAACAGCCUACCAAGGCUACGAUGGGUAGCCGACCUGAGAGGGUGAUCGGCCACACUGGAACUGAGACACGGUCCAGACUCCUACGGGAGGCAGCAGUGGGGAAUAUUGCGCAAUGGGCCAAAGCCUGACGGAGCGACGCCGCGUGAAUGAAGAAGGCCGAGAGGUUGUAAAGUUCUUUUCUUGGUGAAGAAUAAUAUGAGUAGUGGAAAGACUUAUAGAUGACGUUAGCCAAGGAAUAAGUCCCGGCCAAUUACGUGCCAGCAGCCGCGGUAACACGUAAGGGGCGAGCGCUGUUCGGAAUUAUUGGGCGUAAAGGGCGUGUAGGCGGUCUCAUAAGCCUGGUGUAAAAGAUACUGGCUCAACCAGUAUUUUGCGCUGGGAACUGUAGGUCUUGAGUUUAGGAGGGGAAGCUGGAAUUCCAGGUGUAGGGGUGAAAUCUGUAGAUAUCUGGAAGAACACCGGUGGCGAAGGCGAGCUUCUAUCCAUAGACUGACGCUGAGGCGCGAAAGUGUGGGGAGCAAACAGGAUUAGAUACCCUGGUAGUCCACACUGUAAACGAUGUGCACUGGGCGUAGGAUGCGAUUAAGUGUUCUGUGCCGUAGCUAACGCGUUAAGUGCACCGCCUGGGGAGUAUGCCCGCAAGGGUGAAACUCAAAGGAAUUGACGGGGGCCCGCACAAGCGGUGGAGCAUGUGGUUUAAUUCGAUGAUACGCGAGAAACCUUACCAGGGUUUGACAUGUACAUGUAUGUCAUAGAGAUAUGGCAGCCUCUUUUGAGGCGUGUACACAGGUGCUGCAUGGUUGUCGUCAGCUCGUGUCGUGAGAUGUUGGGUUAAGUCCCGCAACGAGCGCAACCCCUGCUGUCUGUUGCUAACAGGUAAUGCUGAGGACUCAGGCGGAACUGCCGGUGACAAACCGGAGGAAGGUGGGGAUGACGUCAAAUCCUCAUGGCCCUUAUAUCCUGGGCUACACACGUGCUACAAUGGCCGGUACAAAGUGUUGCGAGACGGUGACGUCAAGCUAAUCACAAAAAGCUGGUCUCAGUUCGGAUUGGAGUCUGAAACUCGACUCCGUGAAGUUGGAAUCGCUAGUAAUCGCGCAUCAGCAUGGCGCGGUGAAUACGUUCCCGGACCUUGUACACACCGCCCGUCACACCACCCGAGUUGGGGGUACCCGAAGUCGCUAGUCUAACCGUAAGGAUGGCGGUGCCGAAGGUAUGCCUGGUAAGGGGGGUGAAGUCGUAACAAGGUA
rnacentral:rRNA from 1 species